GGAUGAAUAUUGGUCAAUGGGCGCAAGCCUGAACCAGCCAUGCCGCGUGCAGGAAGACGGUCCUAUGGAUUGUAAACUGCUUUUAUACAGGAAGAAACACCUCCACGUGUGGAGGCUUGACGGUACUGUAGGAAUAAGGAUCGGCUAACUCCGUGCCAGCAGCCGCGGUAAUACGGAGGAUCCAAGCGUUAUCCGGAAUCAUUGGGUUUAAAGGGUCCGUAGGCGGUCUUAUAAGUCAGUGGUGAAAGCC
rnacentral:rRNA from 1 species